GUGCUUGCUUUGGCAGCAUGUGUACUAAAACUGGAAAGGUACAGAGAAGAUUAACGUGGUCCCUGCACGAGGAUGACGUGCAAAUUCAGAAGCGUUCCAUUAUUAA